AUCGCUUCUCGGCCUUUUGGCUAAGAUCAAGUGUAAAAAGAGGGGUUCCCUCAGAAGAUUCUUCUUACAAGUCAAGAUAUUCCAGAGUACAAUGAGAGAAUUUCAAAAUGAUAUCAUUCACUCUUUCAGCUUUUAAUGUACAAGUUGUUCAAUUCUUAAUUUGCUUUUGUAGGGAUAAA
rnacentral:snRNA from 1 species